UGGUGAACCAGCUGUUGUGUCUUGAAGCCCCUACCAAAGUUCAGAUGAUGGCAUCAGCCCACCAGCCAUUUUUUCCAGACGGAGCAGCACAUCCCAGCAAGAACUGUACAUCCAGCCACUAGCCCAGCCAUUUACAAGCAACCGAACAGGCUGCUUAUCUCUGCCGCGGGAACGGAGGGGGGCUUAGCGCGCGGAGUCCGCUUCCUCCUGUGCUGCGCCGCCCCUCCCACACUGCGUUGUGCGCUCCGAGCCAUUGGCGCAGUGGCCGCGGCGCCAUCCGUGCGUCGGCCCUGCGACCAGCUGGCCCUCUGGCUCCGGUUCCGGCUCCCACUCCCACCGCCGGCGCUCCUCUCCCGGCGCCCCGUACGCUUCUGCUGCGGCAAGCCUCCGACGAGCUCCUGCUGAGGCGGCCGCACUGGAAAGAGGAUCCGGCCUCUGCCCCCGACGAAGUGGAAGACAGGGAGGGGUGCCACCACUGGGGCCCGCAUCGACGCCGUGGAGGAGGGAGACAAGAAGGCCCAAGGCUGCCGUUGACGCUCUUGCGAGCCCAAGUGAAUAUCAUCACGUGCUUUCUUUGCUUGACUGCUUGUUCACCGUGCAAUUUGGCUAUGGCACAUUUAUCUAACAACAAGAUUCUGCAAGUUGGCUUGAGGUUCAAAAGUCCAAAAGAGGCUUGGCUGUUUUGGGUGGCUUACAGGGUAGUACAGGUUUCGAUGUGAGGAAAAGAUACACAAGCUUUAGCAAAUUUGAUGCCAAGGUGACUUCAUGCCUGUUUGUUUGUGCCAAUGAGGGUCAUCGAAGAAAAAAGCUAACAGAUCGUGUGACAAAGUGUUUCAGAGGUGAAACCAGAACUGAUUGCAAAGCUCGAAUGACUCUUACAUUGGUCGAGGGGAAGGAAAUUAUGAAAUUAUUGAGGUUGUGUUGGAAUUGAUCUCUUGGCCCGAUCCAACGAUCGGGCCAGACCCUUGAUGUGCCCCGAUCGUAGGCGCCCAGCCUGUUGUGGCAGGUGGGCCCCCCGUCGCACAGCGCCAUAAAAGGGAGGUGUGGUCCAGUGUUUCGGUGUCAAAAGAUUGUAGCCGCCACAGAAACCCCACCGAUAGCCCUAACCCCGUCCGAUCGCAAGGGGGCGCUGGUGCUGAUGGGAAGUUCCACUAGCAUCGCUCUUCGCCAUCACGCCAUCCUCUCCAAGGGCCGUAAAGGGCAACGCAGGUGGAGUCAUCGAUGGCCAUCGACGUCUUCCUCUGCACCACCUCUGGCCGCGAGUGGAUCUGGUCAACCUCUACCUCUCUCUCUCUCAUUCGUGUACUAGUUUUAGGCAAGUAACUCGUGAUGUAUUCAUGUAUCUAUGACAAGAACAAGUCCCCUAUGUUCGAUCUAUGCGCACA